AUGUCGGGGGAGAAGCCAGCUUGUACUAAGAAGGAAUAUGGGUGGGGAUUCAGAGAUUUUAAAGUCUUUAACAUGGCUAUGGUUGCUAAACAGAGUUGGCAUCUGCUGAUAAAACCUUAUGCUCUUAUAUCCAGAAUCUUCAAAGCAAGGCACUAUCCUAGAACUUCUUUCUUCGAAGCUAAUCUUGGUUAUAAUCCUACUUUUGUAUGGCGGAGUAUUUGGAAAGCGAGAGAGGUUUUAACACUAGGUUGUAGGUGGAGUAUUGGGAAUAGAAGUCAUAUCAUGGCAAUGAAUGAACCUUAG